AUGCCGUUCAAGAGGUUCGUGGAGAUCGGGCGGGUGGCCCUGGUGAACUACGGCAAGGACUACGGCCGCCUUGUCGUCAUCGUCGACGUCGUCGACCAGAACAGGGCACUUGUUGAUGCUCCGGACAUGGUCCGCUGCCAGAUGAACUUCAAGCGGCUCUCUCUGACCGACAUCAAGAUUGACAUCAAGCGGAUCCCUAAGAAGGCAACUUUGAUCAAAGCUAUGGAGGAAGCUGAUGUGAAGACCAAGUGGGAGAACAGCUCAUGGGGCAAGAAGUUGGUUGUCCAGAAGAGGAGGGCAUCGCUCAAUGACUUUGACAGGUUCAAGGUCAUGCUCGCCAAGAUCAAGAGGGGAGGAGCUAUCAGGCAGGAGCUAGCUAAGCUUAAGAAGGAGGUUGCUGCUGCUUAG
rnacentral:rRNA from 1 species